rnacentral:tRNA from 1 species
GGGAGAUUAGCUCAGUUGGUAGAGUACCUGCCUUACAAGCAGAGGGUCAUAGGUUCGAGUCCUAUAUCUCCCACCA